GAUGAACGCUGGCGGCGUGCCUAAUACAUGCAAGUCGAGCGAAUGGAUUAAGAGCUUGCUCUUAUGAAGUUAGCGGCGGACGGGUGAGUAACACGUGGGUAACCUGCCCAUAAGACUGGGAUAACUCCGGGAAACCGGGGCUAAUACCGGAUAAUAUUUUGAACUGCAUGGUUCAAAAUUGAGAGGCGGCUUCGGCUGUCACUUAUGGAUGGACCCGCGUCGCAUUAGCUAGUUGGUGAGGUAACGGCUCACCAAGGCAACGAUGCGUAGCCGACCUGAGAGGGUGAUCGGCCGCACUGGGACUGAGACACGGCCCAGACUCCUACGGGAGGCAGCAGUAGGGAAUCUUCCGCAAUGGACGAAAGUCUGACGGAGCAACGCCGCGUGAGUGAUGAAGGCUUUCGGGUCGUAAAACUCUGUUGUUAGGGAAGAACAAGUGCUAGUUGAGUAAGCUGGCACCUUGACGGUACUUAACCAGAAAGCCGCGGCUAACUACGUGCCAGCCGCCGCCGUAA
rnacentral:rRNA from 1 species